GAGCCCGUAGUCCAGCGGCUAAGACGCCUGCUUGACGUGCAGGAGAUCGCCGGUUCGAGUCCGGCCGGGCUCA
rnacentral:tRNA from 1 species